ensembl:snoRNA SNORA72 Small nucleolar RNA SNORA72
UUGAGAAUAAAAAUGCAUAUUGACAACCUAAACAUUCCCUUAUAUUAAGACCAGGCUUGUGUCCCCAGACCUAGUUCUUUACCUAGGUCUGGUUUUAUAAAUGCUGGUGAUAAAC